GACGAACGCUGGCGGCGUGCUUAACACAUGCAAGUCGAACGGAAAGGCCCUGCUUUUGUGGGGUGCUCGAGUGGCGAACGGGUGAGUAACACGUGAGUAACCUGCCCUUGACUUUGGGAUAACUUCAGGAAACUGGGGCUAAUACCGGAUAGGAGCUCCUGCUGCAUGGUGGGGGGUGGAAAGUUUCGGCGGUUGGGGAUGGACUCGCGGCUUAUCAGCUUGUUGGUGGGGUAGUGGCUUACCAAGGCUUUGACGGGUAGCCGGCCGGGGAGGGUGACCGGCCACAUUGGGACUGAGAUACGGCCCAGACUCCUACGGGAGGCAGCAGUGGGGAAUAUUGCACAAUGGGCGGAAGCCUGAUGCAGCAACGCCGCGUGCGGGAUGACGGCCUUCGGGUUGUAAACCGCUUUCGCCUGUGACGAAGCGUGAGUGACGGUAAUGGGUAAAGAAGCACCGGCUAACUACGUG
rnacentral:rRNA from 1 species